rnacentral:rRNA from 1 species
CCCUUAGAUGUUCUGGGCCACACGCGCGUUACACUGAUGAAGCCAGCGAGUAUAUCGCCUUCACCGGAAGGUGCGGGUAAUCUUGUGAAACUUCAUCGUGCUGGGGAUAGACCAUUGCAAUUAUUGGUCUUGAACGAGGAAUUCCUAGUAAGCAUGAGUCAUCAACUCGUGCUGAUUACGUCCCUGCCCUUUGUACACACCGCCCGUCGCUACUACCGAUUGAAUGGUUUAGUGAGAUCUCGGGAUUGGAGACGUUGCGCCGCAAGGCACAUCGUCCUCGAGAACUUGAUCAAACUUGUUCAUUUAGAGGAAGUAAAAGUCGUAACA